rnacentral:lncRNA from 1 species
UGAUGGUGUCAAUUGCUUACUGAGGGAGAUGGUGACAGGUGGAUGUGAGUCCCACUCCCACAAAGAAUCGGGUGAACGGUCGCUACUAUUUGGCCGGACCCAUUUCAUCGCCGAUUCGAGCCACGAAGAGACACUACAAGAGAACAAAGUCUUUUUCGACAACUUUUUCGACGGUAAAUAAACGGUCGGAAAUUUUCGACGGUUUUGUAAUGAUAUUUUGACGGAUUUCUGACGACAUGUUUCCCGUCAAAAU